rnacentral:rRNA from 1 species
GUGUUGAAGCGGCGCGAUGCGUUGAUCUCAACGGUUCUAAUGAACAGAUAGGCUUAACACUACAAAGCCGAAGC